GAUGAACGCUAGCGGCAGGCCUAACACAUGCAAGUCGAGGGGUAGAGAGAGCUUGCUUUCUUGAGACCGGCGGAUGGGUGAGUAACGCGUAUGCAACCUACCUUUUACAGGGGAAUAGCCCGGAGAAAUUCGGAUUAAUGCUCCAUGGUUUAUAGAUGUGGCAUCGCAUUUAUAAUAAAGAUUUAUCGGUAAAAGAUGGGCAUGCGUAUCAUUAGCUAGUUGGUGUGGUAACGGCAUACCAAGGCUACGAUGAUUAGGGGUCCUGAGAGGGAGAUCCCCCACACUGGUACUGAGACACGGACCAGACUCCUACGGGAGGCAGCAGUGAGGAAUAUUGGUCAAUGGAGGCAACUCUGAACCAGCCAUGCCGCGUGCAGGAUGACGGUCCUAUGGAUUGUAAACUGCUUUUGUACGGGAAGAAAUGUAGUUACGUGUAACUAUUUGACGGUACCGUAAGAAUAAGGAUCGGCUAACUCCGUGCCAGCAGCCGCGGUAAUACGGAGGAUCCGAGCGUUAUCCGGAAUUAUUGGGUUUAAAGGGUUCGUAGGCGGUUUAGUAAGUCAGUGGUGAAAUCUUGCAGCUUAACUGUAAAAUUGCCGUUGAUACUGCUAAACUUGAAUAGUAUGGAAGUAAUUAGAAUAUGUAGUGUAGCGGUGAAAUGCUUAGAUAUUACAUGGAAUACCAAUUGCGAAGGCAGAUUACUACGUACUUAUUGACGCUGAUGAACGAAAGCGUGGGUAGCGAACAGGAUUAGAUACCCUGGUAGUCCACGCCGUAAACGAUGGAUACUAGCUGUUCGGUUUUCGGACUGAGUGGCUAAGCGAAAGUGAUAAGUAUCCCACCUGGGGAGUACGUUCGCAAGAAUGAAACUCAAAGGAAUUGACGGGGGCCCGCACAAGCGGUGGAGCAUGUGGUUUAAUUCGAUGAUACGCGAGGAACCUUACCAAGGCUUAAAUGUAGAUUGACAGGUUUAGAGAUAGACUUUCCUUCGGGCAAUUUACAAGGUGCUGCAUGGUUGUCGUCAGCUCGUGCCGUGAGGUGUCAGGUUAAGUCCUAUAACGAGCGCAACCCCUAUUGUUAGUUGCCAGCGGGUGAUGCCGGGAACUCUAACAAGACUGCCGGUGCAAACCGUGAGGAAGGUGGGGAUGACGUCAAAUCAUCACGGCCCUUACGUCUUGGGCUACACACGUGCUACAAUGGCCAGUACAGAAAGCAGCUACCAGGCAACUGGAUGCGAAUCUCGAAAGCUGGUCUCAGUUCGGAUUGGAGUCUGCAACUCGACUCUAUGAAGCUGGAAUCGCUAGUAAUCGGAUAUCAGCCAUGAUCCGGUGAACACGUUCCCGGGCCU
rnacentral:rRNA from 1 species